GUCUAUGGCCAUGCCACCCUGAACAAGCCUGAUGUCUGAUCUCAGAUGCUAAGCAGGGUCAGGCCUGGUUAGUACUUGGAUAGGAGACCACCUAGGAAGAUCAGGUGCUGUAGGCA
rnacentral:rRNA from 1 species